CCAUUAAGGUUGAUCACUGAUUUCCAAAUGGCAAAAAAAUAAUAUUAAAAUUCCAUCUAAAAAAAUAACCGGCCUUCAAACGAUAAGACUGCAAACAAGAGCAACAUCUAACUAAAUAAACACAGUCUAAUAACACACUCUAUUAUUCAUGAAAUCUAUGUGAGUCUCACUAACUAAAUUAUUUGAAUCCCAUUUUAUAUUUGGUGAAUCUUAUUCCUAAAAUAAUGAGACCAACAUAAAUUUCAACUAUAAAGAGUGUGCUGACAAAGAAUAUACAAGCAAAACGAGUACUCAUGGAGGAGCAUUGGAAACAAAUUUAGAACAGCCCACUUCUGAAAGAGGGUCUUCCUCAUGGUUUUUCCUUUGAAUGGAACCUUAGGUCUAAACUUUCUUUAAGGUACCUAGCUUUUUGAGCUUCCAGCCACAGAUCCUUUGCUAAAUCUUGCUGAACCCGUUUCCUCGUCCCGUCUGAUGGCGGUAGGUUCUUCAACAGCAUUAGGAGGGUGCUGAUCCUCAUCUCCAUAACUUCUGCAAUACGAUGAAACAACGUUGGCAUAAAUACUUACAUAUAACAGAUAUUAAACAAUAACUCACAGUCUCACACACACACACACACACACCAUAUCUCUAAAUCCUGAGCCAAGUGGAAGAGGAAACCCACUAAAUCUGGAAUACAGAAUGACUUAAGCUACAUGAUCAGUUAGAAGAAAACUUCUGCUGCUAAAUAGCUCGAAUUCUAUUAGUGG
rnacentral:lncRNA from 1 species